rnacentral:rRNA from 1 species
UGUCUCCUACGGGGGGCAGCAGUGGGGAAUAUUGCACAAUGGGGGAAACCCUGAUGCAGCGACGCCGCGUGAGUGAAGAAGUAUUUCGGUAUGUAAAGCUCUAUCAGCAGGGAAGAAAGGUGCCCCUUGGGCGCCUGGACGGUACCUGACUAAGAAGCCCCGGCUAAAUACGUGCCAGCAGCCGCGGUAAUACGUAUGGGGCAAGCGUUAUCCGGAUUUACUGGGUGUAAAGGGAGCGUAGGCGGCCUGGCAAGCCUGAUGUGAACUACCGGGGCCCAACCCCGGGGCUGCAUUGGGAACUGCCG